rnacentral:rRNA from 1 species
UACGAAGGGUGCAAGCGUUAAUCGGAAUUACUGGGCGUAAAGCGUGCGUAGGUGGUUUGUUAAGUCUGUUGUGAAAGCCCCGGGCUCAACCUGGGAAUGGCAAUGGAUACUGGCAGGCUAGAGUGCGGUAGAGGGGAGUGGAAUUCCCGGUGUAGCGGUGAAAUGCGUAGAGAUCGGGAGGAACACCAGUGGCGAAGGCGGCUACCUGGAACAACACUGACACUGAGGCACGAAAGCGUGGGGAGCAAACAGG